rnacentral:rRNA from 1 species
UUGAACGCUGGCGGCAGGCCUAACCCCUGCAAGUCGAGCGGAUGAAGGGAGCUUGCUCCUGGAUUCAGCGGCGGACGGGUGAGUAAUGCCUAGGAAUCUGCCUGGUAGUGGGGGAUAACGUCCGGAGACGGGCGCUAAUACCGCAUACGUCCUGAGGGAGAAAGUGGGGGAUCUUCGGACCUCACGCUAUCAGAUGAGCCUAGGUCGGAUUAGCUAGUUGGUGGGGUAAAGGCCCACCAAGGCGACGAUCCGUAACUGGUCUGAGAGGAUGAUCAGUCACACUGGAACUGAGACACGGUCCAGACUCCUACGGGAGGCAGCAGUGGGGAAUAUUGGACAAUGGGCGAAAGCCUGAUCCAGCCAUGCCGCGUGUGUGAAGAAGGUCUUCGGAUUGUAAAGCACUUUAAGUUGGGAGGAAGGGCAGUAAGUUAAUACCUUGCUGUUUUGACGUUACCAACAGAAUAAGCACCGGCUAACUUCGUG